GUGACAAGAAAUAACAAUACAGGACUUUUUGGUUUUGUAAUUGGAAUGAGUUAAGUAUAAACCCCUUUACAAGUAUCAAUUGGAGGGCAAGUCUGGUGCCAGCAGCCGCGGUAAUUCCAGCUCCAAUAGCGUAUAUUAAAGUUGUUGCAGUUAAAAAGCUCGUAGUUGGAUUUCUGUUAAUAAUUUAUAUAAAAUAUUUUGAUGAAUAUUUAUAUAAUAUUAACAUAAUUCAUAUUACUAUAUAUUUUAGUAUAUGAAAUUUUACUUUGAGAAAAUUAGAGUGCUUAAAGCAGGCAUAUGCCUUGAAUACUCCAGCAUGGAAUAAUAUUAAAGAUUUUUAUCUUUCUUAUUGGUUCUAAGAUAAGAAUAAUGAUUAAUAGGGACAGUUGGGGGCAUUUGUAUUUAACAGUCAGAGGUGAAAUUCUUAGAUUUGUUAAAGACAAACUAAUGCGAAA
rnacentral:rRNA from 1 species